UACGUAGGUGGCAAGCGUUGUCCGGAUUUACUGGGCGUAAAGAGCGCGCAGGCGGUCGUUCAAGUCGCGUGUGAAAGCCCCCCGGCUCAACUGGGGAGGGUCACGCGAUACUGAUCGACUCGAAGGCAGGAGAGGGAAGUGGAAUUCCCGGUGUAGUGGUGAAAUGCGUAGAUAUCGGGAGGAACACCAGUGGCGAAGGCGACUUCCUGGCCUGUUCUUGACGCUGAGGCGCGAAAGCUAGGGGGAGCAAACGGGG
rnacentral:rRNA from 1 species